rnacentral:rRNA from 1 species
AACACGUAAGAAUCUACCUUUAGGACGGGGAUAACUUCUGGAAACGGAUGCUAAUACCCGAUAUGCUGUGGAGUGAAAGGAAUUUCGCCUAAAGAUGAUCUUGCGUCUGAUUAGCUAGAUAGCGUGGUAAUGGCGCACUAUGGCGACGAUCAGUAGCUGGUCUGAGAGGAUGGACAGCCACAUUGGAACUGAGACACGGUCCAAACUCCUACGGGAGGCAGCAGUGGGGAAUUUUCCGCAAUGGGCGAAAGCCUGACGGAGCGACGCUGCGUGAAGGAUGACGGCCUGCGGGUUGUAAACUUCUUUUCUCGAAGAAGAAUAAAAUGACGGUAUUCGAGGAAUAAGCAUCGGCUAACUCUGAGCCAGCAGCCGCGAUAAGACAGAGGAUGCAAGUGUUAUUCGGAUUGAUUGGGCGUAAAGCGUCUGUAGACGGUUUGGAAAGUCUUUUGUGAAAUUCUUCAGCUCAACUGGGGGUCCGCAAAAGAAACUUCUAGGCUUGAGGGAAGUAGAGGUACAGGGAAUUUCCGGUGGAGCGGUGGAAUGCAUAGAUAUCGGAAGGAACACCAAUAUGGCGAAGGCACUGUACUGGGCUUUACCUGACGCUAAGAGACGAAAGCUAAAGGAGUGAUUAGGAUUAGAUACCCUAGUAAUUUUAGCCGUAAACGAUGGAAACUCACUGCCGAGCCGGUAUUCGGAGCGGUGGUCAAGCUAACGCGUGAAGUUUCCCGCCUGGGGACUACGCAUGCAAAUGUGAAACUCAAAGGAAUUGACGGGGACCCGCACAAGCGGUGGAGUAUGUGGUUUAAUUCGAUGCAACGCGAAAAACCUUACCAAGGUUUGAAAUCAUUUCAAAAUUCUUUGAAAGAAGAGCCUCCUUCGGGAUGGAAUGACAGGUGGUGCAUGGCUGUCGUCAGCUCGUGUUGUGAAAUGUCAAGUUAAGUCUUGUAACGAGCGCAACCCAUGUCUUUUGUUGCUGUUUACAGUGCUUAAAAGAGACUGCCGCUCUACAGCGGAGGAAGGUGUGGAUGAUGUCAAGUCAGCAUGCCCCUUAUAUCUUGGGCUACACACGUACUACAAUGGUAGGGACAAUGAGUCGCAAACCUGCGAAGGCUAGCCAAUCUCAAAAACCCUAUCUCAGUUCGGAUUGUACUCUGCAACUCGAGUGCAUGAAGGUGGAAUCGCUAGUAAUCGCUGGUCAGCAUACAGCGGUGAAUACGUUC